UACGGAGGGGGCUAGCGUUGUUCGGAAUUACUGGGCGUAAAGCGCACGUAGGCGGCUUUGUAAGUUAGAGGUGAAAGCCCAGGGCUUAACCCUGGAAUUGCCUUUAAGACUGCAUCGCUAGAAUCGUGGAGAGGUGAGUGGAAUUCCGAGUGUAUAGGUGAAAUUCGUAGAUAUUCGGAAGAACACCAGUGGCGAAGGCGACUCACUGGACACGUAUUGACGCUGAGGUGCGAAAGCGUGGGGAGCAAACAGG
rnacentral:rRNA from 1 species